ACCACUUCGUUCCGUAAUACUUUCAACUUUUCAAAAUAGAAUCGCAGAAUUAUAUAGAAAAUGGCAUUUUAUUUCUUAUACUUGAAUAAAUUGUAUUUUAUCACUUUAAACGAUAUCCUGAAUAAUGGAUACAGAUGAUAAACGAAAAUCUGUGAUAUUUUGGAAACACUUAACAGUUUGAAAGAGAGACUUGGAUAAAUAUACAUCUCCCUUGGGCUUAGAAAGCAAUUUCCUUUAUUACCUAUAUGAUCAUGUGUUAUAUAAAUUAGGCGUUUUCGAAGGAUUUUAAUUGGUACCAAUUAUCAGAACUUAAGACUUGAGACUCGUAAAAAUAUGACUAUCAAGGUAAGUGAAAUAAUUAUCAAGGGUUCCAUAAAUCAUUAUUACAAUUACAUUUAGGUUCAGUUUCAAUUAUGAGACUUACAGCAAUCAUUCACAGUUCUAACUGUCCAUCAAAUUGAGUGAUUUUUCGAACAUAGAUAGCCAUGAUAAAAAUCGUGUUAGCGAUGAUCAGUAAUAUAUACUAUAAACUCUAAUUUUAAUUCUUCUUAAAUUAUCUAUAGUAUUUUAGUCACUAAAUGCUUAAGGUAAACCAUAAA